CUUGGCGUAAUUGUUUCAAUAUCGGGCUUGUGUAAUUUGCCGUCGUGUGUUCACAUCUUGUCUUCUGGCUAUAUUAAUUGUAUUUAUUGAAUUAUUUAUGACAGAGAACCUAAUUUGCAAUGAUGUGUUUACGAAGUGAAGAAGCCGUUUGAAUUAAGCCUUAAAAGGACGAAGUUUAGGCGAAUACAUCAUUCUCAUGCAAGCUGAAUCAUCUUCCUUGGUUCUUUUUUCUGUGAGCCCGCUUACAACUUCGAAAGACUAACGCCAGAGUUAAUUAUUGCCCAUGGCGAACGAGCUUCGGUCGAAGCCUGGUGGUGGCACGAGCACGUGGAGCUUAUUCGAAGAAGCGUACAACUGGCGGCACGCGCAGCCGCGUUGCUUCCGUUCCGUGUGUCUCGGCAUCCAGGCUGCCGCUGCGAAGCAAGACCCAGUGCCAACGUCGCACCACUUCAAGGAGUACGUGUCUACUGCAGCCAUAGAUUGCACCAUGAGUGAUCGACGACCACCGGGUGAGCAGCUGGCUUUCCCGAACAUCUUCACCGAAGGCGAUUGUCAGCAUGACACAAUGUUUGGUACGGGGCCGGCAUCGCGGUGGCAGCUUGAGCCUGGGGCGGCGUAUGAGCCUGACGCUGUUCCAGGGUCAAAAUUUGAGAUGGCUAGCACGCAGACUGGCGCCGGCGGCUGCCUUCGAACAGGGACCAGUCAAUUACACGGACGACCCGCGACAGUUUCCGCAGAAAGCUACCUUCAACAUGGCGCACCACACUGCCGAUCGCUGCGCAUGAACUUCACGUCCCUUCUUUGUGAUCCCGUUUUUGCUGCUUCUUCCGUGGAUCAUAUAGAACCUCUUCAUGCGUUCCUGUGCUGUCCCCUCUCCCAUUAAUGGUGCCUCGAAUAUCGUCUGAAGCAGCGUGAUGAGUGCUUUGGACUGAUUUACGGUGCCAAGGUCCUUCCAGAAAACUUCAAGAUAAGCAUUUUUUUAUGCCUUGUUACUGCUUCCUUUGAAUGAGAAAAGGGAAGGACAAUGCCUUUUUGCGCAUACCUAGCCAAUAUUUCACGAUGUUCUUGUGUUCCAUUUUAUUUGGCUGACAGCUAGAUGUGUGAACUUGAAAGUGUGCAGUGCAACCUCGCGAGAGGCGAGUGGAGCCAGACAAGUGUGCUGUGAAUUUGCCGUUUCUUCUCAAGACCGUAUCCUGGAAUGUUUACGUGGUUCAAAUAAAUUUGUUAACUGCGUGG